rnacentral:rRNA from 1 species
UACAGAGGUCUCAAGCGUUGUUCGGAUUCAUUGGGCGUAAAGGGUGCGUAGGCGGCGCGGUAAGUCGGGUGUGAAAUUUCGGAGCUUAACUCCGAAACUGCAUUCGAUACUGCUGUGCUUGAGGACUGGAGAGGAGACUGGAAUUUACGGUGUAGCAGUGAAAUGCGUAGAGAUCGUAAGGAAGACCAGUGGCGAAGGCGGGUCUCUGGACAGUUCCUGACACUGAGGCACGAAGGCCAGGGGAGCAAACGGG